rfam:Triticum aestivum genome assembly, contig: Triticum_aestivum_CS42_TGACv1_scaffold_092924_2AL
CGUUUGCUGUGAUGAAUCACAAGGGCGGUAUCAUAGUAAGUUGGUUGUUGUAGAAGGCUGAUUUCCCUGAUUAUAAAUCCUAAACUGAUCAUAAUCUCUGAGCAAACA